rnacentral:rRNA from 1 species
AGAGUUUGAUCCUGGCUCAGAAUGAACGCUGGCGGCGUGCCUAACACAUGCAAGUCGGAUGUGCCCGCAAGGGUGCAUGGCAGACGGGUGAGUAACGCGUGGGGAACCUACCUCUUUGUGGGGAAUAACGUUCCGAAAGGAAUGGUAAUACCGCAUGAGACCAUGGGCUGGGAUGCUUAUGGUGAAACCCGGGGACCGUAAGGCCUGGGGCAAGGAGAGGGUCCUGCGUCUGAUUAGCUAGUUGGCGGGGUAACGGCCCACCAAGGCGUCGAUCAGUAGCCGGCCUGAGAGGGUGAUCGGCCACACUGGAACUGAGACACGGUCCAGACUCCUACGGGAGGCAGCAGUGGGGAAUUUUGCGCAAUGGGCGAAAGCCUGACGCAGCAACGCCGCGUGGGUGAUGAAGGUCUUCGGAUCGUAAAACCCUGUCGUCAGGGACGAAGGUUGCAUGUCUAAUAGAUGUGUAACUUGACGGUACCUGGAGAGGAAGCCCCGGCUAACUCUGUGCCAGCAGCCGCGGUAAUACAGAGGGGGCAAGCGUUAUUCGGAAUUAUUGGGCGUAAAGCGCGUGUAGGCGGUCUGAUUAGUCUGAUGUGAAAGCCCUGGGCUCAACCCAGGAAGUGCAUUGGAUACUGUCAGACUUGAAUACGGGAGAGGGUAGUGGAAUUCCUAGUGUAGGAGUGAAAUCCGUAGAUAUUAGGAGGAACACCGGUGGCGAAGGCGGCUACCUGGACCGAUAUUGACGCUGAGACGCGAAAGCGUGGGUAGCAAACAGGAUUAGAUACCCUGGUAGUCC